GAGGGUAUAGCUCAAGUGGCAGAGCACAUGCUUAACAUCCACGAGGUCCUGGGUUCAAUCCCCAGUCCCUCA
rnacentral:tRNA from 1 species